AAGAAGGACCUAAGGGGCAUCAAUCAAAGCCUCAGAAUAAGCAAGUGAUUGCUCCGGGGACAGUGGCAGGUGGGGAGAUUGACUGGGGCAGUACAUCUGUCAAACGGUAACACGGGUAUCCUAAGGCGAGCUCAGGGAGGACAGAAACCUCCCGUGGAGCAGAAGGGCAAAAGCUCUCUUGACCUUGAUUUUCAGUAUGAGUACAAACCGUGAAAGCGGUGCCUCACCAUCCUUCUGGUUUUUUGGGUUUCAAGGAGAAAGUGUCAGAAAAGUUACCGCAGGGAUAACUGGCUUGUGACGGCCAAGCAUUCAUAGCGAUGUCGCUUUUUGAUCUUUUGAUGUCAGCUCUUCCUAUCAUUGUGAAGCAGAAUUCACCACCAGUAGGGAACAUGAGAUGGGUUUAGACUGUCGUGAGACAGGUUAAUUUUAC
rnacentral:ncRNA from 1 species